UACGUAGGGCGCAAGCGUUAUCCGGAAUUAUUGGGCGUAAAGAGCUCGUAGGCGGUUUGUCGCGUCUGCCGUGAAAGUCCGGGGCUCAACUCCGGAUCUGCGGUGGGUACGGGGCAGACUAGAGUACUGCAGGGGAGACUGGAAUUCCUGGUGUAGCGGUGAAAUGCGCAGAUAUCAGGAGGAACACCGGUGGCGAAGGCGGUUCUCUGGGCAUUACCUGACGCUGAGGAGCGAAAGUGUGGGGAGCGAACAGG
rnacentral:rRNA from 1 species